AAUGAAUAGUGCAAAUACAAUUUUUUGGAUUCAUAACAAUGUUUAUAUUAUUAGAAUGUGAAAGGCAAUGUGCUACUGUGAAAUGUGUUAACUGAUUUUUUUUUUUUGCUAUUAUUAAAGAAAUGUUUUUUCUUAAGCAAGUAUAUCGAGCACACAUUUUUAUUUCUUUAUGUUUCCCUUAAGGGGAUCGGUGGUGGUGUAUAUUUAAGGAGUUAGGUAUAGGCUAGGGUGAUCAUAAAAAUAAAAUAAAAAUACGGGACAUUUCAAAAAACAAAAUAAUCUGAUGAAUAAUUUUUUUAAUGCAUAGUAGAUACAAGAAAACAAUUUUAUUUUUAUAUUAAUG